rnacentral:sRNA from 1 species
ACAUGUGAUGGAGCUCCCGGGCGGCACAGAGGGUCAGAGGGUGCCCUCUCAAUGACUCUGGCUCUGAGUCACCUAAUGAUACCAAUACCUACUGCUGUGGGAAGAAAACCGUCUACCGGAGUCUGUGCCUGGCCCUGGCCCUGCUCGUGGCCGUGACGGUGUUCCAACGCAGUCUCACCCCUGGUCAGUUUCUGCAGGAGCCUCCGCCACCCACCCUGGAGCCACAGAAGGCCCAGAAGCCAAAUGGACAGCUGGUGAACCCCAACAACUUCUGGAAGAACCCAAAAGAUGUGGCUGCGCCCAUGCCCAUGGCCUCUCAGGGGCCCCAGGCCUGGGACGUGACCACCACUAACUGCUCAGCCAAUAUCAACUUGACCCACCAGCCCUGGUUCCAGGUCUUGGAGCCGCAGUUCCGGCAGUUUCUCUUCUACCGCCACUGCCGCUACUUCCCCAUGCUGCUGAACCACCCGGAGAAGUGCAGGGGUGAUGUCUACCUGCUGGUGGUUGUCAAGUCGGUCAUUACGCAGCACGACCGCCGCGAGGCCAUCCGCCAGACCUGGGGCCGCGAGCGGCAGUCCGCGGGUGGGGGCCGAGGCGCUGUGCGCACCCUCUUCCUGCUGGGCACGG